AGCAGGGUGGCGCAGCGGAAGCGCGCAGGGCUCAUAUUUCUUGAAACCCUGAGGUCACUAGAUCAAGACUAGUUCCUGCUA